CGCAAUAAGUAAAGGGGAAGCAAAUUCGUUGAAUUCUUCUCAUAUAUUCAUAUUCUCUCUCUUAUUCGUUUCUUUGAAUCCAGAUCUGGUUGUGAGGUUGGUGUUUUUUCCUCGUUUUUCAAUUUUCGAUUGGCAAAAUUUCCCUUAGGUUGAUUUUGAUUUUUCCUUUCAAAAAGAAACCACUCUCUUCUUCUUCUUCUCUUCCACUUUGAAUCAUUGAUUUUAUGUGUGUACAUCGAAUUAAUCUUUCUCAAAUACACGUUUAGAUACCCAUAGAGAUAAAUGUAAUGUUACUUUUGAUUUUUGAUUACACGGAGAAAGAAAAAGAGAUUGGCGGUAGAGCAUAUAUGUUUUAAGAACAGUUGAAUUGCGGCAGCAGAGAUAGAAUACCACAAUUCCUCUCCAACAAACUGUGGAUCUGAUUCAAUUUCCCUAGUAGAAGUGAUCAUAUACCACUUGGUAACAUCUAUAGGUCUUAUUUCUUUUUUUGGUUGGAAAUCUGUUAUUAAAUAGUCGAUCAUUUGUUUUCAGCUUUAGUGUCAAAAUUUACAUAAAAUCCUGCUCUGUGUUGCUAACUGAAUUUAGGUUUGGUACAGCUGAAUUUCCUUAAUGGCGUUUUAUUAUAAGUUCAGGUUUACAGUGAGUAGAGAAGAAAUGGAUGGAUGCAGAAGGGAAUCCAGACAAACAGAUAAGAGCAAAUAAGUUACAAAAACGGAAUUGUUUGGAACGAUCUUUGGUGCAUACGGCUUAUCCUUCAGCCUGGGAAAAUGAUGUUUUUAGGAACGCCAUAAUCUGAUUCAGUUCAUCCCGAAUCUUUUCUUUGUUCUUCUUCUGGCAUAUCUAUCUCUAGGAUCUGGUUUCAUGGAGUUUGACUAUUUUUCUUCGGUUUCUAUCCGUUUUUAUAUUCGGGGGAGUUCCUUGAUCAGAAUUUUCAUGCAGUUGCCUAAAGAUUGACAAGUAAGAGCCCAGAUCCAUCAGGCUUAAGGGUUUUUAAGGUUAAUAAUUGAAGCUUGGUAUAUAUUAACAAGAAGAAGGCUCUAGGAAAAGGAAAACGAAACUAUGAGGUAUUGUGCUGGAUGGUAUUGUGCAUGGUGAAGAAGCUCUAAAAAAAAUUAAACAAACAAAUAGGUAUUAUGAAGAGCUCUUCAACAAAGAGUCUAAUUGGACACGAGGAUUGAGAGAGAAAAAAUGACAUUAAUGAGGUUAACUAUGUUUGAGCUCCAACCAACCUCCUGGUUGUGAUAUUGUUUCGGAAGAUAUUCAGUUUUUUUCCUAUCAAAACUGACAUUGUGGCGGUUUAGGUGAAUUUUAUUUCAAAGAAAUUCGAAGUGGAAAGUUUAGAAGAUAUCAUAUUGAUUUUGGUUAUUUUAGGGUCAGAGUUGUUUUAUGAUAUAUAUUGUUUCCUGAAGAACUGUGGAAGCAAUGGUUCUGAAUUGGAAACUUUAGGGCGAGGCUUUUGUUUGCACAUAAUUGGCAAUUCCCCUUGCUUCGUGGUUCAAAGGCAGUUCAUUCAGGUGCGGAUCUCGAGUCCGCCAUUGCAAAUUGUAUGGGAUACAAGGCUGGCGUAAUGUCUGUAUGCCUAUGCUUUCAUUCGAAUGACAAUGCCUCUCGUAAAUUAACUAAUAGGUUUCUGAUAUUCCGGGGUCAAGGUUUCCAGCUCAUAAUCCUCACCAUUUCCUAAUUAGAACCAGCAUCUAUUGUGGUACCAGAGACAACAACCUUGCCUUUUUAGAUGAAAACAAGGUUAAAUGAUUUUAAUUGGUUUGAUUAAUGGAUUAUCUUGAGCAAAAUAGGUAGAAGAAUAUGGAAUUGCAGAGUAAUAAACAGGAAAGGGAGGAGAAAAAUAGGGAAAACCAUUUUCCGCAGACCAUACAGCGGCCAUCUUGAAAAGGAACCCGAUAGUAUGCAAAAGAAACCCUAGAGUUUAUUAGAACCUCCGACGUCAACUCACCUGAGCCGCCAACCUUUUCAGUUGCGCGACUACCUUUUCAAUAGAAAUGACCGUGAAUGGCAGCACCAUCAUGCACAUUUCUUAUUUUUCAGUCUUUGGAUGAGAUUAUGAUGUUGUUUGCUCAACUUCUUUUGCAGCGGCGGCUCUAUAGUACGUCGAGAGGCCAUAUUUUCUAUCAGGGGACUAGUUUAUGUCACAGGUCCUGAAUUCAGCAAGUACAUGCCAAUGUUCAACAAGUAUUUGGAAAAAGGUUUGCAGAAUGUCAGAGAUUACCAGGUUUUGUCCGUAUCUGUGGAGGUUGUCGGUGAUAUGUGCCGUGCUUUGGAUGACAAGAUCCUACCCUUCUGCGAUGGUAUCAUGUCCCGUCUUCUCACUGGCUUGUCCACUGGUGUAAUGCAUCCAUCUAUGACUCCCCUAAUAUUUUCCUGUUUUGGAGAUUUUGGGAUUGCAAUUGGUAAGCACUUUGAAAAGUAUCUCCCCUAUGCCAUGCCAAUGAUUCAAGUGGCUUCUAAGAUUUGUGCUGAGAUGGAGCAACCAGCUGAGGUGUGGUAUCUUUGAUGCAUACUCCGGUAUCCUCCAGGGAUUAAAGAACUCAAAGUAACAAAUUAUGCUAAGCAUUUUAUUUGGAGACAUGAUUCGUGCUGUUCUGUCGGCAUUCAUGUCUGCUCUUCUUAGUCGACUCGACCCUAUUCUUAGAAAGACUACUAAGUUGUUCCUGUGAAACUUGAAAACUUAGUACCUAGUUGGAUUAUAAUGUAACAGCUGGUUGACCGAGUUUAACAGGACUCGUUCAGUUGAGUUUUCAGAGUAACUGGACCCAUUCAGUUGAGGUUUUUUUUUUUUUUUUUUUUUGACAGUUGAGUUUCAGGGAGUCAACUGCUUAUCCGAGUUGACUCAUUGAGUCCUCUGCGUAGCCGAUUUGACUCGACUCCCCCAAACAUGGUUUACCCCUGCCCCACCUAUUGGGUGCUCGAGCAUAAAAGACGCCCAAAUUUCAGAGCUGUGUAGUACACUUCAAGUUCAUUUGCUUCUUAAUCUCAGGUACUCUUGGUUAAAGGUUUGAUUUGGGUCAAUUUUAAGGGUUUUGCUUCAAAUAUUUGCCCUCAUCUCAUCAGCAUGUCGCUGAGGAGUGAGGACUCUCGUGACUAUGUGCAAGUCGCAUUGGACAUCGACUCCAAAGCCAUUGUUUAGGCCUGGUUUUUCAGGCUUUUCUGCUCAACCAAAGAGGCUUUCUAGUGCCACAGGUGGUGGUGGGCUUGGAUACUCUGCAAACUCGGCCCACAAAUCAUUGAACGAUGAACUGUUCAGGAAAGCAGGGACCAACUAUUAUAAAGUGGUGGAUGGUAUCGUCAACCCAUUCUCGGUCGGGUUAUCUUUCCUUGCAUAUAUGGAGUAUAAGAUGUCCAGGCCCGUGGAGGAUCAGCUCGCUGAGGUGAUGACUUGCUUUUCAGAAGAAAAAAGUAGUGAGUCUGAGGCUCGAAUGAUGGAUGCAAUGAAUGCUGCAGUUAAUGAGUUUGAGGCUCGAAUCGUUGCUGCCAUGGAUGCUAAAGUUAGGGAGUAGGAGGCUCGAAUUAUUGCUGCGAUGAAAGCUAAUCAAUGCUGCGCUAAGAAAUGAUAUAGUUGAGCUGAAUUUGUAGUGAAUGUUAAGCGGGUAGAUCCCAAAGAGGUGGCAAUGCCUUCGAUAAAUUAACACCAGCACCAGAUUUCCCUUGUCCCUUGGAAACAUCCAUCGAGGUGCAAUUGUUCAGAUGGAAAAUCAAUAGACUACAGAUGGGAGAAAUCGACACCCGCAUCCAGAGAAAUAGGCUGCAUGUACACAUGUCCAACAAAAUGAAGACGGAGAAGCGUGUAGCUGGAGAAAUAAACAAAACAAAAUACAUAGCAGCCACGGUAGUGCAGAAGCCACUAUUUUGCAAAUUUCUUCAAUGCCCUACCCAUGUCAUCAGCUUUCCAGACUAGAGGAGGAUCGUAGAGUUGAUUGUGAUCACCGGCCUCUGUACUUCACAACUUCAACAAGCAAAAACGAGUACAAGGGAUUCCUCGUCGCCUUUCUCAACACUAUGAAAGUCGUACUGUUGCUAACUUGCUAAAUUGGACAACAAUAAACAAAAAAAAAAGGUCUACUUUACGUUUCCUCCCCUGCCAAUAUCGUUAAUUAGCGUUUCCUCCCCAAGAAAAUGAAAUUAGUGUUUCCUCCUAUCGUUAGCUUUUCCGUCCAUUGCACGGUUAAUUGAGUCAGCAUCUGUACAUGCGUGUCAUAUAUUGUACACGUGUUUUUUGAUGGUUCCAAAAUACCCUCGACUAACUCAUUCUUUAUCGUCUACUGCCUUCAAAUUCUCAAUAGAUCGAGAUGAAAGAAAUUUUGCAGAGAAGCUAGGGUUCUGAAACUUAUGAAAUGAAUUUAGGAUUGAAUCGAUUGCUGUUGCUGUUAAAAUCAAGAUAUGGAAGAUGGGUUUCUGGAAUAGGGAUGAUUGAGCAGUGAGAGUUGAUUUCAGCAAUGGAAUAAUUAGGGUUCAUGUGGUAUUAAAAUUGAGAAUAACAAGGAAAUAGAGUUGCUGCUGGUGAAAUUAAAAUUGAUUGAUUUCCUUUCAUGGGUUCAGGUGAGGGAAGAAGAUGGAUUCAAAGAUAUGAAGAAUUGGUCCUGUGGGAACUUUAUUUCUCCAAUUUUGAAACCUGAGAUUAAACAGCCAUGGAAGCAACAGAAGAAGAAGAAAAUAGUAUUAGGAGGGAAGAAAAACCAAUUUAUCCUCCAAUUGGAACCAACAGCUGGUUCUUCUCUUUCUUUAUUUCAGAUGAAAUGGAAUGAAUAAGAGAAAUUUGUGCUGGAUUUGGGUUUGGAAGAAAAGUGGAUGAGAACUAGGGUUUGAGCAGGAUUUGGGGAUUAAUGUUAUAAACUGCGAUUGGGUUUGAUUGAGAAUGUUAACGAAGCUGUGAUGAUAUGGAGACAUGGGUUAUGUUUGACUUUGAUUUCAGAGACAGAGAAGGUGUACUAGUGAACACGGAACUGAAAUGGGUUGUUAAUGGUGGCUAUCUACUGAUUUUGGAACGAAAUGUUUUUUCUUUUCUUUUAUGUGAAUCGAUCAUGAGUUUACAAUAGAUAAGUAUGGAUUUGGCUUGAUUGA